rnacentral:rRNA from 1 species
AGUGAACGCUGGCGGUAGGCCUAACACAUGCAAGUCGAACGGCAGCACAGUAAGAGCUUGCUCUUACGGGUGGCGAGUGGCGGACGGGUGAGGAAUACAUCGGAAUCUACUUUUUCGUGGGGGAUAACGUAGGGCCACUUACGCUAAUACCUCAUACGACCUACGGGUGAAAGCAGGGGAUCUUCGGACCUUGCGCGAUUGAAUGAGCCGAUGUCGGAUUAGCUAGUUGGCGGGGUAAAGGCCCACCAAGGCGACGAUCCGUAGCUGGUCUGAGAGGAUGAUCAGCCACACUGGAACUGAGACACGGUCCAGACUCCUACGGGAGGCAGCAGUGGGGAAUAUUGGACAAUGGGCGAAAGCCUGAUCCAGCCAUACCGCGUGGGUGAAGAAGGCCUUCGGGUUGUAAAGCCCUUUUGUUGGGAAAGAAAAGCAGCAGGUUAAUACCCCGCUGUUCUGACGGUACCCAAAGAAUAAGCACCGGCUAACUUCGUG